rnacentral:sRNA from 1 species
CAAUCGAGGACCUAAUCUCUCAAAGUGAC